rnacentral:rRNA from 1 species
CCCUUAGAUGUUCUGGGCUGCACGCGCGCUACACUGAAGCUAUCAACACGUUUUCCCUCCCUGAGAAGGGCGGGUAACCUUUUGAAUCAGCUUCGUGGUAGGGAUCGGGGCUUGCAAUUGUUCCCCGUGAACCAGGAAUUCCUAGUAGACGCGAGUCAUAAGCUCGCAUCGAUUAAGUCCCUGCCCUUUGUACACACCGCCCGUCACUACUACCGAUUGAACGUUUUAGUGAGGCAUUUGGACCGACGCAUCUCAGUUUAACCGCUGGUUUGUGUUGGAAAGACUUCCAAACUUGAGCGUUUAGAGGAAGUAAAAGUCGUAACA